AUCUUCAGAUCGGCAGGGAAAGUCUGAGGAUCAGAGGAAACAGGAAACUCAGGCCUGAAGAACCUGCAGCCCAGGGACCCGCUAGACUCACCAGUUUCUUUCCCUCCCUGAUUCAUGCCACGCCCUCCUAGCCCUGACUCGGGGCACCCAGCCACCAGGUCCUCAUCUUCCUACCUUUUCCUCGAGCACACAGCCUGGCAGCCAAGAUGUCACUGCUGGAAGCAUUCACCUUCUUCUCCUUCUGGGCUCUUGGACUUGGGUUAUCUAAAGUGGAGCAGUCCCAGGUAUCCGUUUCCACUGAAGUAAGGAAAAGUAUUGAGAUCAACUGCAAGAUAGAGAGCAGAGAUUUUGAAUCAGAAACCGUUUACUGGUACCGGCAGAGACGGAAUCAGGCUUUGGAGCAUCUGAUUUUUGUGAUCUCAACAACAACCACAGCUCGAAAUCUGAUUGAUGGGAAAAACAACAAAGUUGAGGCAAGAAAGAAUUCUCAAAAGCUUACUUCAACCCUUACUGUAAAUUUCAUAGAAAAAGAAGAUGCGGGCAUUUACUACUGUGCUGGCUGGUACUCACAGUACUAGAACUGUCAAGACACCCCACACAAGAUCCCCUCCCUGGGUCUGCACCCACCCACAUCCUUCCCAGCCCCCAACCUGGGCUCCCAGCCGCAGCCUCACCUCCUCUGCAAUGUUUCCUGAGCUUUCCAGGAGCUCAUCCUGCAUCAUGCUUGUACAUGACUUUCCAGCUGACCCCAGGAGGUGUGCUUUAUUAUCCCCAUGAAUUAAAAUCUUGUCUGGGGACUGAGGGCACUACGGCUGUGCCACAGAGAGUUCUCUAAGUGGGCAUGCUUCAGGUUGAGAGAGCGCAUCACCAUGUUCCAUUAUGAUCCCAUUUACUCAAGACAACAGCUCUGUGGUAUAACUAUGAUUGGUCCAUUGUACAGCCACAGAAAUGCAAUCUUAGAGGACUUAAAGUGAAUGACAAGCCAAAGACAAGAAGUCCAUAGUUUUUGAACUGAACUGUGAGACCCCACCGAAAAGUUUAAGAACUGCAACUCUCUAAGUGAACAGUAGG